AUGCACCUCGGGUAUCUUGUCCUUGCUGCCUUCCUGAGGCAACCACUGGGCACCAUGGGACAGAUCACUGUCACCCAGCAAGAAGGACAAGUCACAGUGAAGCAGACACCUUCCAAACAACCUGCACAUACCAGACUUCCAACUUUUAUGCUUUGCUUUGGUACCAGCAGAGGAAAGGCCAAGGUCUCCAGCUGGUCUCCUAUCAGGCAACUGCUGGCCGCAAGCCCAGUGGCCGUCUCACCACCGUGCUGAACACCACCGAGAAAUACAGCCUCCUGCAGCUGGAGGAAGUCGAGCUCUCUGACAGUGCCUUGUACCUCUGUGCUGUGCAAGACACAGUGGAGGAAAAUGGCUGCCACAAGCAAACCGGGACAUGUCUGUGCUGUAUGGAAGACAAAUCUUUGAUGCAGGAAAUCCAUGAACAGACUAGGACAGAGGCUCUCUGUGACCUGCUAACCACAAGUGAGGAAGAACUGUUGGAUGAUGUAAAGUUCAAGGCCAGCCUUGCCUGCGGUGACCAGGAGACUGUGGAAUUUAAGAUCCUCAGAGAACUGACCAAGACAAACAGGACAACUACUGCAAUGGACUUCAGGAGAGCACAUCUUGAAGUGGCCAGGGAUUGA